rnacentral:tRNA from 1 species
GCCCGGAUGGCGAAAUCGGUAGACGCAGCAGACUUAAAAUCUGCCGGCCGCAAGGCCAUGCCGGUUCGAUUCCGGCUCCGGGCACCA